GCCAUCAGCACAGAGCCCGACGCGGGGCUCGAACCCACAGACCGUGAGAUCACGACCUGAGCCAAAAUCAAGAGUUGGUCGCUCAAUGCUCAACAGACGGAGCCCCCCAGGCGCCCCUGAGCAAUUCUCCUUAAACUGGAGCUUUGUGCAGGGGCAGCAUUGUAGCCAAGGAGGUUUAUCCGGGGCACGAUUAUUGCUAAUUGAAGACUUUCCCCGGGGCACCAGGCUGGCUCGGGUCAGUGGAACAUCUGACUCUUGACCUCAGGGGCGUGAGUUGGAGCCCCACGUUGGGCAUGGAGCCGACUUUGGAAAACAACGCCUUUUGGAUUCUUUGUAACUUGUUUUUCUCUCAGAAUAUUCUCCCCACGGAAGAUGCAUCCAAUUCCAAAAGUGUCCUGUGUCCUCCACCCCCCAGGAACCCUCUACUCGGGGUCCUCUCGCACCCCAAGAUACAGCAGGCUAAGACAGCGACAGAGAGUCAGGAGAAGCCCGGUGAUGCGAUUACGGCUGAGGGUCCCUGUGACUUUGUACCAAAACGUCAGCCAGGCUCAGGGUCCUUCGAAGACUUGACUGGGGCUGGGGGAUUCACAGGCCGCCAGCUGCUGCUGGCCGCGGGCAGGACGCCUGGGCUCCGGGCCACACUGACCGCCUGCCUGGCCAGGCUGCUUCAGUGUCUUCACUGCCUGGGUGGCGGCUUCCCCAGGGCGAGGGGUCUGAGACAGCAAGGUAUAUGCCAACACCCCCACUGUGCCAGGAGGUGGGGUCUCUGGGGGCCCCCUGGGGGCCUGGCCACCACGGCCACAUGGGAAUAAACCACGGCGGGAGACACUGAGGUCAGACCCAGGGCAGAACUUUCUUACUGUAGCACCAAACCCUGGAACCUUCCGGGUCUCCGGGUCCCUGCUGCAUAGUCCCUUCACGACUCUCACGGGGGCUCUACGUGGGGGACGAUUCCUCGGCGCCUAAUGGAUGGCUGACCUGGGUCUCCGAGGGGGUGAGCAACCCCUCAGAGCCACUCGCUGUAGGCCCGGAACCUUCUUUCUGAUUCCACAUCUCAGCCUUCAGCCACCCUCUGAUGCCACUGCCCACAGCGUCUUGGGUGUCAUGUGUGGUGGUCACAGCCACCAGCCUGCCCCGCCAUGGCUAUCUCUGUCCCUCCCUCCACUCCCCCGCCCCACCCCUGCCCACAUCCUGACCCCCUGCUGGUCUUGUAGGAGCUUCUCCAGGGAUGCAGAGGUCGCCAGGUCCCAGGCAGAGGCACACUUGGCCCUGGGUGCAGGGAGUGGGGGGUCCAGGGGAGAGCCCGACAUGGAUCGGGUGUGGGGGUCAGGGUCUGACGGGGAGUCCCAGCAUCCAGGGGGCCCGGUGACCUGUCAGACAGGGAGGGGGGCCUCUGUGCGGUGGGACCCACCCAAAAGGGGUUGCCUGGGCGGGGAGGGGGGUGCUGCAUGGGAGUCCUGGCAGGGGACGGCGUUCACAAAGCACGAGGCAGGCAAGAGCAGGUGCCUUCUGGGACUGCAGGAACGGUGGGCCGAGAGGCGGCUCACAGAAUAAGGUCAGUCCUUGGCCCCAGAGGACCGUGCCACCCGGAGGGAGAAGCAGCGGGCUAACCCCCCCCCCCCACCACCAGGAUGGCACCCUCGGAGUUUUCAUAGUUUGGGGCCCAUGGCGGUGGCCAGGCGGGGCCCUGCCGAGCAUUUAUCAUGGAAAACAGCUAAAGCCUUUGACCUGCAGGUACCCGGCCGAAAGUUAAUCAUUAAGGAAUGGGGCACAGAUUCAGCCAGAAGUCCACUCACCCAGCCUUGACGCAGGAAGGAGAAAGGUCAGACAACCCUAAACACCCACCAGGAGGCAACGGGUUACGUAAAUCAGGGUCCCUUCAGGCAACAGAACAUUGCGUCACCCUGGAAAUGGCGCGGGGGCCCUGGGCUCUCAGACCCGAGCUUGGUCCGUUCUAACGGAGAAGCGCGUGCCCCAGGGUCCCGGAGGAGGUCUGCCCCAGGACACAGGGGCCGCGGAGGUGCCCCUCGGGAAGUCCAAGGCGCUGGGGAAAACCAGUCUUUCUGGGGCCCAAGGGAAGCCUGUCUUUACCACGACGGUUAGACCAUCUCUGUGAUGUAGCAUCAGAAUGAACACACAGCAUUUCGGACUUCACUGCCAACUGCGGGUCCCCGAGAAUGGGACUGAGGACUCUGGUUCUACUGAGAGAAGCAGAGGUGCUCGAGGAUCUCGAGGGGAGAUCGCCCCGGAUCACCUGGACGGGCCCUGCUCCCAGCCGCUGCCCUUGCAAGAGGAGAGGACACCGUGGGGAUCCGGCUGGGGCCCGGAUAACUCCUGCCCCUGGCCCCCAUCCCCUGCAGACAGAGAUGGCCCGCGCCUGGGGAGGUGGCACUGAGCUCCUGCGGUAUCCAAACCAUCCUGCCCCGCCCCCCCCCCCCCCCCCGGAGGCCCUGAGAACUCCCAAGCUUCCUCCCCUCUCCAGAAGCCCCCCCACACUGAGAAAGUGACCCUCCUCCCUGCGUGCCCGGAGCCCCCACCCCUGCUGGGGAGGUGGCCCCCCAGAUGAGCCCCCCCCCCCGCCCCCACCUCCUUAUCCCAGCCGGAGUGAGCCCUCUGGGCCACGCACUCACCGGUCGUUGGUCUGCGCCCCAUCCACGGUGAUCCUGGGCCCUCCGGGCUGAAGUUCCACAUCCAGAGCCCUCGUCAAGGGCCCUCAGGACCCCGAGCCAGCUGAGACCUCCAACCUCACACCUGCUGUGGUGCCUGGGGUUUCAUACCUGUCCGUGGCCUCUGGGCCUCUGCAUACUCUGUUCCUCUGCUGGAACCGCACUCCUGCCCGGCCGCCCCCGUCCCUCAUCCUGGAGGUCCCAGACAUCACCCUCGCCGGGCCUGGCCUGGGUCCCCACCACAUGCUGGGCUCCUCAUUCUCACCCCCUCCCAGAACACCCACCUGAAGGGGCGACGUGGCCCCUGACCUCAGUCCAAAGGUCAGCGGGGCCCAGGGCAGUGGGAUGGGUUAUCCCUGGAAGGGCAGUCUUCCCGGGAGCCAUUUUCCCUGUGACAUACUUGUGCUCCAGACUACGGGGUACCAGCACCCGGGAGUUUUAGUCGGACGUGUGACUAUCCAGAGGAAGACGACACUUCCCAGCCAUCUUUGCAGCAAAAAAGGUCAUGUGACUAAGUUUACAGGCACUUGAACAGAAGUGAUAGAUUAUUUCCAGGUCCUUAAAGGGAGAGGCGUGCUUUUCACUUCUUUGCUCUUCCUCCGUGCUGGAGUGUGGAGGUGAUGGCUGGAGCUGUGGCAGCCAUUUUUGACCACAAGACAGAAACCAUGUCUUGAGGACUGCAGCACAGAAGGCAGGAGUUUAAGUUCCUGACAACAGGGGUUCUCAGCCCUUGGAUGCUUACCCUCUGAGCACAAUGUGAGAGAUAAAUAAACCUUUCUCCUGAUUAAGCCA